rnacentral:rRNA from 1 species
AACGAACGCUGGCGGCAGGCUUAACACAUGCAAGUCGAGCGCCCCGCAAGGGGAGCGGCAGACGGGUGAGUAACGCGUGGGAAUCUACCCAUCUCUACGGAAUAACGCAUGGAAACGUGUGCUAAUACCGUAUACGUCCUUCGGGAGAAAGAUUUAUCGGAGAUGGAUGAGCCCGCGUUGGAUCAGCUAGUUGGUGGGGUAAAGGCCUACCAAGGCGACGAUCCAUAGCUGGUCUGAGAGGAUGAUCAGCCGCACCGGGACUGAGACACGGCCCAGACUCCUACGGGAGGCGGCAGUGGGGAAUAUUGGACAAUGGGCGCAAGCCUGAUCCAGCCAUGCCGCGUGAGUGAUGAAGGCCCUAGGGUUGUAAAGCUCUUUCACCGGUGAAGAUAAUGACGGUAACCGGAGAAGAAGCCCCGGCUAACUUCGUGCCAGCCGCCGCCGUAAAAC